rnacentral:rRNA from 1 species
AGGACGAACGCUGGCGGCGCGCUUAACACAUGCAAGUCGAGCGAGAACCUUUCCUUCGGGAUUGGGGACAGCGGCGAACGGGUGAGUAACACGUGGGUAAUCUGCCCUUGACAUCGGGAUAGCCCGGGGAAACCCGGAUUAAUACCGAAUAGCCUCCGGAGCCUUCGGGCGCCGGAGAAAAGGUAGCUUCGGCCUCUGGUCAAGGAUGAGCCCGCGGCGGAUUAGCUUGUUGGCGGGUAACGCCCACAAGGCGACGACGGGUA